rnacentral:miRNA from 2 species
UGUCUGUGGGAUAAAGGUUAGU